GCCAGCAGCGACAUCACCCUGCAACUCACAACUGACAACCCACUGAAGAUACGCAGAUGUGAGUCUGGUCAGUACCUUGUUGGGAGACCUCAUGGGAAAAACUAAGGUUGCUGCUGGAA
rnacentral:rRNA from 1 species